UAAUGGGGUGGUGGUGGUGGAUGGAUUUGGUGGUGAUGCAGGUGGUGGUGGACGGAUGCAGAGAAUCAUGAAUGACAUUCCUAAGACUCUAGAUGUGCUCAAACCUUGUCCGAGCUUGAAUGCACUUCAUGUAGAGUUUGGCCAAACUCCAAACUAAGCACACCAUAAAGAGUGGACCUCAUUGAAAUUCUUGUGAAGGUGAUCAUACUUUUCCUUUAAAUAGUGCAAGUUUAGUUUGAAAUGUGAGUUCAGAAUUCUUUUCAUUAGCUUGCAUGGUUAUGUUUUAUAGUUAAAAUGUUGUAUUGUGAUCCAUAAUUUUCUUUUAUACAUUUAGAGCUUUAGGAACUCUUUUCUCACACUUAUUCAAAUUUUCUUAUAAUCCUGUAUUUUUAAUUUUUUUUGUAUGUCAACUAUUGCUAGUAAUACCUUCUUUUUCUUAAGCUCUUCUCUAGCUGUAGAUUCUAAAGUGAUGAAUUGUUUUGACUGUCAUUUCUAAUACACUGAAACAUUAAUAUAUUGACAUGAAUAGAUAAGCUGAUACACUAAUAAUAUUGUUAUGAAAAGUAGAGGAAUAGAAAUAUAGAAGCUAUUGUGACAGGACCCAAGUGUGAAAGGUAAUAUAUGGGUUACCUUUUAAUUUCUAAUCAUGCAUGUAUUUCUUGAACAUUUCAAGUUCCUAGUAUUUCUUAGAAUGAACUGAAAAAGAAUAACAUGCUAGUUAAAAAAAAAUUAGGAAUUGAAUUUUUUUCUUUCUAAUAGUUAAGAAAUCAAAUAUGUAUUUAUCUUAUUUAUAUGCCAAGUUUUUGGAAUUAACUAAAUCUUGUGUUCUUUAAUUGAUAGAAUUGUUGUCCUCUUUGAUUGAUAUAGUGGAACCACUUUAGUUUAUGCGUUGGGUUUAUGAAUGCUUGUUUCAUUCUUGAGAGUGCAACUUAAGAAUGGUUCUUGUUCUUGGGCCUUGUUUUGAUUGGCUGCCAUUAUUAUUAUUGUACUAGAAUUUAGAUUGGUUUGUCAUAUGAUGCAAUGGUAAGACAACAAGGAUUUUAGAUAUUUUUGUUGUGUUUCACUCUUUACUCAUCUUUAUUAUGUAUCAUAUUGAUGUAAUUUUAUUAUGCAGUGUUGCAAAGAGCUCUAUAAUUGGGAAAGGUAUAACAAAAAAAAUGUCAUGAUGCUGCCAUAGUUGAUUAUAUGUUUAAAGUGGACAAGAAUUGUUCAUUCAAAGAAAGAGAUUGAGAGAAAGGUUGCUGGUCAUUGAUUAAUUUAGUCAAUUGAGUUAUAUAUGCUCUUUUUUAUUGUACUAAUAAGUAGGAAUUUAUUCUAUUUUAUAUUGAAUCAAGUUAUCGUUUAUAAUA